AAGUCGUAACAAGGUUUCCGUAGGUGAACCUGCGGAAGGAUCAUUACUGAUUCUGAAGGAAUGUGCUGGCCUCGAAGGAGGAAUUGUGCACUUCCUCUCAAAGUCUCAUUCACCUGUGCACAUAUGAUGGGCAUCAGAAAGGAAACCAAGAUAAUUGGUUCUUGACUUUUGCUCGUUGCAUUUUUCUCACACUUAAACUAUGAUAUUGUAUUUGAAAACCAAAUGUAACAACUUUCAACAAUGGAUCUCUUGGUUCUCGCAUCGAUGAAGAACGCAGCGAAUUGCGAUAUGUAAUGUGAAUUGCAGAAUUCAGUGAAUCAUCGAAUCUUUGAACGCACAUUGCACCCUCUGGUAUUCCGGAGGGUAUGCCUGUUUGAGUGUCAUUAUCACCUCAAAGCAAUAGUGGGUUAAUUCCUUCUUUUGCAAUUGGAUGUUGAAGGCUUGCUGGUGCCCUUGAUGCAAUCCAGCUCCUUUUAAAUGCAUUAGCAGGACUUUGCAUGACCAGCUCCAGUUUGAUACCAAGAGUUAUCUGAGCUGCUGCUGUGAAAGCUCCUANUCAUCUGCUUCUCNAANNGUCUGUGGACUUUGUCCUAGUGGACAAACAUACUUUGAACUUGACCUCAAAUCAGGUAGGACUACCCGCUGAACUUA
rnacentral:rRNA from 1 species